rnacentral:rRNA from 1 species
UUCUAGGGCUUUAAGCCUCAAGACACUGCAUUGUUUGGUCAAAACCUGACCCAUCGUCUGAUCUCCAAAGCUAAACAGGGUUGGGCCUGGUUAGUACUUGGAUGGGAGACCACCUAGAAAGACCAGGUGCUAUAGGUG